rnacentral:lncRNA from 1 species
GUAGGAACCCAAAUUCAUUUAUAGUACGUUUGUAUCGAUGCGAAUAAGUACAAUGAGGUGAGAGCUAUGACAUCCAACGCAAAGAACAGCUACACCUUUACGCUCUGACAUCCAACGCAAAGAACGACUACACCUUUACGCUCUGACUCAGUGAAAAGAAAACAAAAGAGAAGAAAGCAAGAGUCAGGUUAGAAAAACACAUGCUACAAGAAAACAGGGACAACCCGCCUUGUCUUCUUGGGGGUAAGACAAGAGACUUCUUCACACACACUCACACCCUUCAUAUAUAACAUUACAUAAAGUAACUCAAGGGAGCUUUAUUCGUGCUACUACCAGAUAGUAGCAGUGGCCGAACUCAUCAUUCAGUCGAGGCUAACAGCCACCUGGCGGGCAGAAGACGACUGGAGGAUGGACUGGAUAAACCACCGGAGGUGGCGAUAGAGAACCGAUGUUUCAGGUCAUCGGCCAUCGGACAGGAAUCCUCCCAUCGAGGAAUCGGAAUCCACCUGACGUCACUCUUCUGCAAGAUGAACGAUGCGUGAGGCAUAUAUUUUUCAAAAAGGAUGAGGAGGAAAGCGAAGAGACUGAAACUAAGCCAAAGGAGUAAUUCUGAAGAUACACUACUCUAUGUGUGGCCAUAUUUCAUGAAGGUAACAAAAAGGGGGCCUUACCUGGAAAUCAACGUCAUAUGUAAAUAUAACCUCCUUCCUUUCUUCGACCUCUUGAGGGUUUGUAGAGCUGGUAACCACACGCUUUGCAUGAGGAUUACAGGUGAUUGGAGUGGCCUUCUCGCUCCAUAUGCCUAUAUAUUCAUGUCUGACACUACAGUAAUAAAAAGAUGAUUUGGCACAGUUAUUGAGGUGGAUGUCUAAUAAACAGGACUAGCAUCAACCUAUGGUGUUUUGUAUGUGAUCAUGGAAAAUCACCUGAAUGGUUUAACCUCAAAUUGUUGUGGCCCCUGUUUCAUUAUCUUGGUGAUACUCGACAGUGAACCACAAGUGAUUGUAGAUAAAAUAUCUCUGCUCCCUACUCUGCAAAAAGUAUUCAGUCGUUACGUAUCCACAAACACUUGCAUAUUUAAAACACCUAAAAGAGAGGGAAUGCCAAGAUUGGUGCUCACUCCAGCAUAAUGUGCAUUGAAGCCAACAGGAAAGCCACGUCGAUAUGCUGUGAAAUUGUUCUGUGCAGGCCAUUCUAAUGGAACCACCAGAGGGAGAUAGUCCAACACCCUGCCAUUUAUGCUGUGUCAUCCAACAGUUCCAGAUCAUUAAGUUACAGCAGUUCUUGCUCUGCAUGCAUUUUAUGCUAAUCAGUGCUUACAUGUUCACUCGAUACUCGUCAUCCAUCUUUUUUUGAAAUUUUUGGCCUCUUUUGCAUCAAGAAUCUUUUGACAGAGAAUUUUGCACCGCUCACCUACUCCCAUUCUUAUCUGAGAUAAAAAGAAGCAAUCAGGUGAUCAAAAGGAAACGUGCCCCUCCUAUCUUCAAGCCAGGCAGUAUGUAAGUUUAUAAGGAUUGUCUGUACAUGCAUAUACACGUACUUAUGUAACCUACCUCAUAAUAGUCUUGGUUAUCUCAGCACAGCAAGUUAGGGGCCUACAAUCUUCCAGAUUAUACUCCUCCUUCUUCAACUGUGAGAAAUCCAUUGAGUAAGGGAUAGGCAUGGGAAUGGCCCUGAAAAAAGCCAAAUUGUCUUGACAAUAAUGAGGAGAGUAUACUUUGAAGCCUAGGUAGAAUCGAUCCUUCGUGGACAGCCAUAAUGAAAGGUCUACUAAGGAUUAUGCACGGACCAGAAGUUUUGGAAAGAGUUUAUACUAUCAGGAUCAAAAAGGUAAUAAUGUUCUUCAUUUUCAUAGUAGAAAAAGUCAAUAUCCCUGUGAUUAAUUCCAAGAUAGUUCGAAAAAUAAUGAAGAAAAGGAGAGACAACCGAGGGAACCUUCUUAGGUAAACGAUUCAAAAGUCGAUAGUCUAGAAGAGGUCUUAUAAGUGUUGUGCUUGGCAGAGGAUAAUAAGGCAGGUCAUGAGAAGCCAGGUCAAAAAGAAAUUCGAAGUAUAAUGACAUCUAGGCUUGUAGGAUCCAGAAGGAACUGGAGAUGGUACCGCUCUUUUCAGCCUUCAUGACCAUUGAGGCAUGUACUAGCCCUCUAUACAGAGAAGCAAGAACUACGGAAACAAGAGUAAUGCGCUUAUCACUUGCAAGAUUUGCAGCCAUUUGGAGAUAAUCCUUGUUCACUUUAAGUGUGACACAUUUGAAAACGUAUCUUGACAACCAGUAUAGUAAGAAAACGAUGAGUUCCUUUUCAUCGACAGGGCCUGUCUCUCCACCAAACUGCUCGAAGAACUUACUAUGCGCAAGAACAUCUGAGAUGAAAAAAGGAAUUUCAAUCGUAGGCAACUGCUCAACAGAACGGCUAAAUAGCUGAAAAUCGGUUAUAGUAUGCAUGUCCUGUAGGGUAAUAGUCAUAGGUCCCCAAGGGAAAAGGAAACAGUUAAUCGAAGAGGACCAAAAGCUUACUGUAGACCCUACCAAUCCACAGUUUACAUCAUAAGAAGACAUAUUGAUUGCGAGCGUCUUCUCAAUCCCAGCAUUCAUCCAGGCAAGUCAGGUUGGUUCAUCAUCCCUUAAUCGGAGAAACCAUUUAUGGAAAUCUGCCUCAAAUGAAAGGAACCCAAGAAAUCGAGGAGAAGCUAAGGACCAGACAUCUCAAAAGAAGCUGUAUUGAAGAGCCAAAGUUUCAUGCCUUGUAGGAAAGCAAGCUUUGAGUGGAGGAUGGAUUCUAUUAUAGUCAACAAUACUGGGACCUACAAAGAAGCAGCCCGUCACAUCUUGACCUCAUUCAACAGGCCAUAGCAGGUGACGAAGCAGGUGACGAAGCGUUCCCCUGUCUAGAGAGAGAGAGUGAUCAAAUUGCUGAGGUAGUCUGCCGAGUCAUAUCCGGAGGUUUUCUUGGGUGCCAUAGCAGGUGACGAAGCGUAGAUGAAAGAAAUCGCAAAGAGAAUUUGGAAAUAGGGUAAGGUAAGAAGACGGAAUAUUAUUAGUAGAAGAUAGAUGCCUCAGGGAAGAAAAGGGAAAAGUUACGAAAUUAGUGGAGACAUGUCGAGAUAAUGUGGGGAAUGAAAAUUUGUAUCAAGGACAAGAUGUCAGAAGACAAUUAGGCAUGAUCACCUUAGAAGGCCACAUAUGUUGACACCCAAAAUUACCUUCAGAACCACGUGUCGGUCACAAGAGAAUACUAGGUGAAACGCUCUAUUUUGGUUCACAAAGUUUUCAUGGAAGCUAUUUAAGUUGAGCCUCGAUAGAAUUUUAGAAGUCAACUCUAGAGUCGAUACCUAGGAGACUAAUUGCCAUGUGUCAAGCUACGGGGAUAGUGCACCAGAUUUGAAGAUAAAGCGAAAUUAGUAUUAGAACUCAAGCAAGAAUAACCAUGGCAACAAAUGCACAUGAAAAUAGGGAAUAGUUAUUCGCUUGAUGAGCAAGUUGCACAAGCAUCAUCGACAGAUCAUUAAAGGAUAAAGUCGUCAAGAAGAAAUGGAAAACAUGGAGAAUGCGAAUAGUAAUGCUGAAGAAAUAGCAACCAAUUGAGGAACAUCAGUCCACUCUAUAAAUACCGCAGCCCUACCAUUGAAAACAUCCCUGAACAACAUAUCAAUUAUAUUUACUUUAUCUUUACUUUAUUGCAUUUUAGCUAUAAUUUCCAGGAUUCUCAUCUUUGAUUAAAUUCUAACGUGUAUCUUUAUCUGGUCCAAUGCCAUUGAUUGAAUUCCGGUGUUGUUCCACAAGCCCACUGUUGUUGAUUAAAUUCCAGCAUUAUGUUUUCUAUCCAGAGGUAUCACUAUUGAUUAGAUUCUACCCUUACACCUAAAACAAAUUGUGUCGUGGAUUAAAUUCCGACAUAGUUUGAGCUCAAAAGCAUAGACUAUCCAGUUCCUAGUGUCUAGAUUACAUCAUUGAUUAGAUUCUAGUGUGAUUUACACUCAACAAUAGUUAGUUUUUGAGUCACAUUAGCAUUGAUUGUCAGGGUUGUAUAUACAAAUUGAAAGUAAAAUUCCUCUCGCAUUUGACAUUCUUUGUCCAAGCUCAACACAAAACUUGAGCGUCUUAUAAUAAAAUCAAAACGCAGUGUUUGAUGAAAGAUUUUUCACGAUGAUCAAAACUGGUGAAACAGAAUUAUAUCAAGCUCGUUCUUGCUCUUGAAGAACUUGGAGAACUCUAAACUCUUGUCGAGGGUAAUCACCGGCCCCUCUACCUCUGCCUCACUCCCUUUCAAGCUUGCGAGGGGGACUUAUUGUGUUUUGUCGUCGAUGGCAGGGAAAAGACCGCUUGACGAACGCCAAAGCAGCAACGAGCGUAGAGUAGUCAAAUCCGAGAGUGAUUCAUGAUUUGAAAGCAUUCGCUGGAGAGGAAAGAGGUUUGCUUUUCUUCUUCUUCUUCAGAUUAGGAAAGCACGAAGGAAAGAGAAUAUAAGAGAAAGAAAUAAGUGUGUGCAGAGCGAUAGAGAGAAAGAGAGCAAGGGUAGUGCGUGCAGACUAGUGAGAGAGAAAGGAAAUUAUUUUUUGUGCAUAAAUUCGUUAGCUGGUGGCCGGCCCCGCAGCCUUACGUUGCUUCACGUGUCGCUUCUCGAGUGGCUGGGAAUCACGCUGACUUGGAGUACCCAGACCACCAAUAUUUCCUCGGUUCUCUAUAUUCAAUUUUUUAAUGAUCGUCCUGUUUCUCUUUGGAAUGGUAGCUACGAGUACGCUACGUACUCUCUACCGCGAUGUCUCAAAGUACAGCCAAUUGGAGAACCAAGAAGAAGCCCUAGAAGAGGCGGGCUGGAAGUUGGUACACGGGGAUGUGUUCCAUCCUCCUGCAAACUCGGACUUACCGUGUGUCUACAUCGGGACAAGGGUCCAAUUUUUGGGGAUGACUCUUGUCAUCAUGAUUUUUGUCCUCCUUGGUUUCCUCUCUCCUACUAACCGAGGGGGUCCGAUGACGGCAAUGGUCUUGCUUUGGGUCUUUAUGGGCCUUUUCGCAGGAUACUCUUCAGCUUGUUUAUAAAAGAUGUUCGAGGGAGCAGAACGGAAGAAAAUUACUCUCAAGACUGUUUUCAUGCUCCCCGCUUCCAUUUUCGUUGUGUUCUUUAUCUUGAAUGUGUUGUAGAGGCUAACAGUAUUAUCUAGAGGAGGAUGAAUAACUGAUUAUACAUGAUCUAAAUAAACUAAAGCGGAAUUUAAGACAACCAAGUUUGAUAUUGCAAAAGAACAAAAUCUAAUGAGAAAUUAUGCAAUAACCAGAUUCUAAUGUGUGCAAAAUGCUAUCAAAUAAAACAAUAGAGAGUUAAAGGGAUAGAGAAAUUUGCACACACUAAUUAUAGUGAUUUGGUUCAAAUCAAGUCCACAUUUACUCUCCCAUGUUGAUUAACCUACUGACUGGAUUUCAAUAGAGAAUCAAUCAGUUUGUGUGGUCAGGUGCUUAUUUCUGGAAAUUCGAGAAACUUAAUCAGACAUUCUGCUUCUUUCAACUGAUUUUCUUCCUCGUAUCAACUGGACUCCGACCUGCUUUCCUCUCCUGAACGCUGCUUAAGUGCAACCAUUUUAGGUUUAUCUUGUAUUGCUGGGACGAAUCUUUUGUUAUUCAUCGAGUGACCAUCACGUCAAUGGCUCUCGACAGUCUGCUGCUUUUCAAGGACAAAUUAUAGGUCAUGACGAUACUCAUAUGGGGUGAGCUUGAUUGUUGGCUUUAUACAUGAAAUGGAACUACUUCAUUUGCUCUUGAAAAGGAUAAGUUUCAUUGAAGCCAGCUAUCGAUCAGUAGGGAGUUCUCAUUAAAACACUCGCCGUUCGUCUAAUAGUCAUUAUUAGUAGGAUUGAUGGCUGAUUAAUCAAUGCCCGUCAAGAUUUCAUGAUAAAAAUAAGGGCAAAGAGAUAUUGUUUGGCAAAAGCGAUAAGAAAGGUGGAGAAAUCACCAUGGAAUUAGUCGAGCGUUCAUUCACGCAUCCGCCAUAUCUUUAGACGACCAAAAGUUCCCCAAGAGCCCAAGGGAAUAGAACAGCGCCAAUAGCCAUUUUAAUGUUUACGCUGAAAAUCGUCAGUUUAUUGACUUAAACGAAACAUCAGCGUCCUUCAUUUCGGCAACUAAUUCUAGAUUGACGAGCACGAGAAAGAUUAACUUCCCUUUAUGCAUUUUUUAAUAAAUGUGCACAAAAUUGAAAUAAAAUGAUGAAUCAUAUGUCCUGUCGUUCUACUUAAAACAUGAAAACGAAUGGAUCAGUUUAUCAUAUAUAUAUCGUCUUCAAAGAUCUACCCAAAUAGGAUGAAUAAUCAAUAUAGAUGCCUCUACCUAUUGACAUUUAAAAAGAUAUAUGGCAUCUUACCGACUAACAUUUUAUUACUAGUCUAAAAAUUAAUUGCCAAUCAUCUUGAAAGGAAUGGAGAGAAAAAAGCAAGGAAAGAAAAUGAAGAAUCAAGAAAAGAGACAUGUAUAAACUGGCGAUCUUUAUUGGUUCUUAACAUUACAAAGCAUGAGAACAAUCAUGAAAUAGUACUCACUACUGUUAUUAGCCAAGGUUGCAGAGGGCGGGGUGCUGGUGGACAGUGCCCAUGUCCAUGCCCAUGAUAGUGGCGACCUUGUCUUGACUUAUAAAUUUUGACUAAAUACUUAAAAUUUAUUUUCAUAGAAGAUUAGGGACCAAUUUUGGCCCUAACAAAAAAGAUUUUCAUAUCACCUAUGUAUUAAUAUCAUUUGCUUUUUCUAGGUUUUAUUUUCUAUUUUAUCUUCCCUAUUUUUGGAUAAAUUAAUGUUUAAAAAAUUAAUAAUUAAAAGAAAAAAAAGAGGGAGGUUCUGGAGAUAGAAACCGAGGCUAAGAGAGCUGAGAUAGAGUGAGUAAGCCUCAGUCGACGCUGCGGCCGUGACAUCCCCUGUCUGACAAGCUCCAGCCAGCGUUGCCGAGCCAAAUCGUGAGCCUCCGGCCUUGUUUUUGCCCCGUUUUGGGCGCAUCGGGGCGGAGCUCGCGGCCGUCGGGCUAACGCGAACUCUGACCCCUCAUCUGUCCUUCGGUUUGCUGCUGUGUGUGUUCGUCCGUCGAGAGUCCCGGUCUCCGAUUUGGGUCUCAAUUGGGCUGAAAGACCAUCGAUCCCGUAACGUACACCACCUGUUCGACACAAUGACUAAACGAGAUCUAGUUUCCGUGUCCUCGCUUCUGGCCAAGACCAAGCGUCCUUGGCUUGAUUAACGUUGUUGAGAUGAUGUUAUUGAGUGUAGCGAUUCGGGCGUCGGUCGUUUGGGUCGUUUCGCAGAGUCCCUGUAAUAUAAAAGUCGGUGACAGCCCACUUGGAGGACCCGGAUUCUUCAUAUACUAAGCAUUUGGCUGUGGAAUUUUAAGCAUUAAAGGAGGAGGUUUGGUAAAAAGCAAUGAACGAGAUGUCGUAGACAAAAGGAAGGCUGGUCUUUUCAAACCCUUGCUCUUCACGAAAUUCAGUCUCGAAAAAGGGCACUUUCGAUAUUGUUUUGCGGAAAUUUACCGCCAUAAAUGAAAUGCUCGGACAACAAUAUAAUUUACUGCAGACGUGAAGAUGCUCAAAGAAGCUUUGUUCUGAGAAGAAGAAACUGUCUCCAUCACGAGUCGGGUAAAAACGAACUGAAAGACCUAGAAAACACGUUGAAUUACCGAAGCAACCGGCUUCGCAAGUGAAGAUAUUUGACGCGUGCUCUAGAAAAGCCAUAAAAGAUAUAGCCCAAACAAUGUCUAUCCAUAAAAGGAAAUUCUCAUUUUAAGACUAUCACUUCGAAGAACUUCAUCGAUAGAAUUGUGGGCACAAUUGAAGGAGAGUGUUGAAUUAUGUCUCAAAUUUGAGUACCCGACCCGAUGUUAAUUAGACAAGUUAAAGGUGCUUGUCAUUAUUUUAUUUUAGUUUUUUUUUUUUUUGUGGCGGGGGGGGGGGGGGGGCGGGUGUUGCGUGAGGGAGUCAGGGAAAUAAGUUCCGUGUUGCAACCGGUAGUGAUCUUCAUAACACAUCACAAAAGGAAAGACAUGGAUUUAAUCGAUCGAGAUGUAUCAUCUAAACAAUAGAGAAACCGUUACCAAUUAUAGAUGGAAAUCAAAAAUAGAAUGGGAUUGAAGUUGAGUGGGAAUUCAGUGGCCAGUAACAUAAAAGAAAAAGUCGGUGGAAACAUGAGAUUAAAACAUCUAAUUGCACUUGCAACGCCACCAGAAGUUAUGUGGAUCCAAAUCCAUAAAUCCAAAUCCAACACGAAGACCAUCUAAAUCUUUAUGCUCUGACCCAGUGAAAAGGAAAUUUAAGAGGAGAAAGCAAGAAUUAGGUCAUGAAAGCCACAUCUGAUAAUACAAGACCCCGAAGACAAUUAAGUUAGCCUGCUAGAGGAGACAAGUGGCUUCUUCACACGCAUGCACAAACUUCAGGCAAAACAUUACAUAAAAUGAAAGUAACACAAACUUCACUCAUAACAUUGCAUAAAAUAAUAGUAACACAUGCACAAACUUCAGGAAAAACAUUACAUAAAGUAACAGCUUGACACGGUGGAGUCUGAUGCCGGUGUGGCGGGAAGAUGAUGAUUACCACCGGAGAUGACGCUGACCUUUCUAGAUUUUCAAUAACUGAAACUUUGACCACGGCAAGUGGCCGUCUCCCUAUUUGUGGCCCUGUAUGUGGAGGUGUUCCACCUUGUGGAACUGUAUGUGAUGGUGUUCGUGGACGUAUAUGUGGUGGUGUUUGUGGACGUGUAUGUGGUGGUUUUCCACUUUGUGGACAUGUAUGUGGUGGUUUUCCACUUUGUGGACAUGUAUGUGGUGGUUUUCCACUUUGUGGACAUGUGUGUGGCGGGGUUUCUCCUUGAGGACGAGUACAGCAACGCCGUGGCCGUGGCCGUGGCUGUGGCCCUCUUUGUGUCCAGGCCAGUGGCCGUGUCCAUCUUUGUGGACAUGAGUGUGGCAGUGUUUCUCCUUGGGGACGAGUGCAGCAUCGCUGUGUCUGUGGCUGUGGUCCUCUUUGUGUCCAUGCCGGUGGCCGUGUCCAUCUUUGUGGCCGUGUCCAUCUUUGUGGCCAUGCCGGUGGCUGUGCCCGUGGCCAUGGCCAUGAUGGCUGCCGUGGUGAUGACCCUCUCCCAUAAUUUUCCUUGUGGGCGUGAGUGUUACUUUGGAAAUGUGUUGUGGCAGUUCAUGGUGGCGAAGAGUGCUAUUUAACCCAUAAAGGGCCACCGGACCCAGCAAAAAGAAAAAAAAAAAGAAAAAAAAAAUUGUUAAUGGGCCUAAUGGUGUUUAGAAGUCUUGGUCACGGUCAGUGUUUAUUUGGACGGUCACUGUGUAUUUAUUUAUUUUUUUGGGUCCAUAGUUUGGACGGUGGGAAAGUACCAAGUAGUCAACUUUGGCGGAGCAUCGAGAAGCUGUUGAAGAAAGAAGAGAGCAACAAGCAAGAAGUCAUCAAUGGAAGCUUCAUAGAAGAUGAACCGGUACAGCUGGCAAGAUAAAUGCCAGUGGUAUAAGUCUUGGUCGCGGCCACCAUCUUGGAAAAAAGGACUGAACGUGAACAAGAAGAUAAAGUUGUCUUUUCAACAAGAAAAGUUUAUGCCAAUGGUAUUAGCCUUAUUAAGAUAACUGCUAAUGGUAUAAGUCUUAGUCUACAUGACUUGUCGAAGAGCUGGACCAAUAAAGAAUAGCCAAAACAACAUCGUUUUGUCUUUUAUUUGAAUUUUAAUAUAAAUAUUAAAUAAAUUUAAUUUAAAACUAAAAUUUAAUAUAAAACGACAUCAUACUUUUCCUUCUUUUAAUGUGGAUUUUAUAGAGAAUAUGGUGUUUUGGGAGAUCUUAUGUUCGUAAAUUAUUUAUAGGCAUAGACACCUAAGGAGGAGAGAUUCUAAGUGGGACCAAAGGCACCAGUGUUGGUGUUGAUAAUUUGCCUGUCCACGCUAAAAUUGAUUCAUCUGGCAUCUUUACUCGAAGAUAUCUUACUCUUGGCACCUCUAUAGGAUUGCGCAUAGGCAUAGCAUAUGUAUCACACUGCUAUUAGAAUGCUGAUAUAAGUCAUCGGAUAUGUUCAUAUUCCUCGUACUAAAAUUUAGAGAUAAUUACACAAAUAAUUCCUUAACUUUGGUCCCAUAUGCAGUGUCGUUUCCAAACUUUUAAUUCUUCAAUAUGGUCCUAGAACUUUAGUCUAAUGUGCAUUAUCGUCCCUAAAUUUUUUAUUUAGUCAACAUGGUCCACGAACUUUUUGAUAACAUUCAAUCUAGUCCACAGACUAUGUGAAAACAAUUAAUGCUAUCCUUUCAUCGAUUGAAGUUCAAAGACAAAAUUAAAUAUUUUUAUAUAGUCUAAUGACUAAAUUAAACAUAUACUAAAAAUUUAUGGAGCAUAUUGAAUAAAUUAAAAGUUUAUGAACCACAUUACACAACGGUUAAAGUUCAAGGACUACAUUGAACAAAAUACAAGUUUAAUAAAUAACAUUGUAUAUUAGGCUAAAAUUCAUGAAUCAUCCUUAUCAUCUUCCCUUUAUUUUACCAAGCAUCGAUAGGAAAAUUGUCUAAAAAUUCUUAAAUCUAGUUAGUCCUAAAUCUUUCAAUUUUGUUAAUUGAAGCCUAAAUAUUUUCACAUUGUGUCAAUUGAGUUCAUUUGACCAAUUUUGGCUAGAAAUCAUGGACGUGGACUUCAGCCAUUCUAUGUGGUAUUGACAAAGCUAAUGUGGGCAAAUUUUAAUAAUAUUUUAAUAUUAAUUUAUUAAAAAAUUGAAUUUUAUUUUUUUCCUUUUUUUUCUUUACUUUUUUCCUGAUCUUUUCUCUUUGGUAGCGAGGGAGUCGUGGGUGAGUGGGGUUGGCAUAGCCACGGAGGCCCUAGGUGCGGCCUCCCUGGCCCUAGGCAAAGGGCUUCAUAACCUCGUCGAUUGCAAGUGAGGGUGCAAAAGACCUUACUCGAUCAAGGCGAAGCCUACAUGGCUGGCAAGGGUUGCCGGUGACCCUCACCGGCUAAAAAAAAGCAGAGAGUAAGAAAAAAAAUAUAAAAAAAUAUUGUGAUAUUAUUAAAAUUUGUCCGUGGCCGUGUCGCUCUGUGUCCUUGGCCGUGUCCCUGUUUCUGGCCGUGUGUGAGACCAUGGCCAUGCCGGAAGCCUUGAUGACCGUGAUGGCCGCGUUGACGAUGACCGUCCUCCGUGCUUAUGAGCUGUAGGUUUUCCUUGCGUUUUCCUUGCGAUUUCCUUGCGUUUUCCUUGCGGGGGUCAAAGGAAGUAAAGGCAAGAAGGCCAGUCCUUAAAGGAUAGGAGAAAAGCCUCUGCAAGACGAAGUUACUAAGUAAGGGGCCCUGGCAUUAGAAAGUCUUGGUCAAGUGCAUUGAUUUUUUGGACGGUGGGGUUGGGACAAUUCUAUCGCGAAGAUUCGUGGUCCUUCGUUAAUUUUAUAUUAUCUCUUUUAUUAGUCCAUUUGACUUGUUUUUCUUGGAGUCAAUCCUCGAUUGGUGCUUAAGGGGCAGAUUGUAUAUGCCUAUAUCUUCAACAUAAAUAUAAGUUUUACCUCACAAUUUCAUUUUGGUUUACAUCCAUCGCAACUACUGUUCCAUUAUAUGUACCUUAGAGAAAGUAUUUGUAAAAUGAUUAAGCAUCUCAAGUUUGUUUACUAUAUCUUUAAUUCUAUGAAACUAAGUCAGAUAACUGAACUGAAUGCACGUAGGGGAUUACAUCUCGUCUUAGCGAGUCCACCUUAAAGACUUAUUUAGGCGUUAACCUAAUCUCCAACUCAAAUUGACAAAGCAGCCAUUCGUUCAAUCACAUGCUCAGUAUAGAAAUAUGUCUCGACAAUGAAGCCAUCCAACGAAUCCUGACCCGACCAGGGGUUGCGGCCGCGGAUGGGAAAGGAGACGGCGAUGGUCUUUGAUUGAAGGAGAAAAGCUUGUCCGCUAAGAAAGGGAAAAGAGAAGAUCGGAAAAUGGGACGAAAAGGGGAAGAGAGAGUAGCCAUCAUGGUGUCCUAUUCAUGAUGAGCACUCUAAAUACGAAGAGAAAGCGCGUUGAAGGCUGCCUGAAAAGACAUUGAAGAGUGUCGGGAGUUUCUCCGGAAGGUUGAACUUGUGGAAGUCCAUUAAAUACUUACGGUAAGUAUUUAAUUGAUAGCUUUACGAGAUUAUGAGAUUAUUUUUAGUGGAAUUUUAAGAAAUAAAAAUCAUAUCAGUUAUUGGGUGUAUUUAUGGUUGAGAAACAUUAUGAAUAUUCGAAUAAGUCGAGUAUGAUUGUAAUCUCUAUUAUACCAGUUGAUUUACAAUAAAAUAUUUGACUGCUCUCUUUUGAAUUACAUAAAUUCGAUGUCGAAUUUAUUUGCUCAUUCUUAUAAAUGGAUUGCCUGAUAGCUUGUUUUUGGCAACCGUAGUCAUAUGUACUUGGGAAAUUUAAAAAUUUACAUAAAGCUUUACCGAUAGGUCAAUCGGAUCAAAUCAAAUGGAGGGGUUCCUCUAGAUUUACAUAAUUGGAUCGAUGGUGACCAGAAAUAGGACAAAGGGUUAGGCGACAUCGUUGUCAUCGAAUGUUUCUUUUGGGCAAAGCCCCUCCUUCCACGAAACUUGCGGGCGACUUUGCUUUAUGAAGUGCACACUUCGAGUCUUGCGAUUGUGACACAGCUUGCCGUGCAAGUUGGAAAGAGCUUGCUCGUUUGCCUCGAAUUGCUAACCGAGUGAUUUGCAUAAAAUGCUCAUUUUCUUGCUUAUAAACAAUCUAGAGAGGGCAAGAUGAAAAAAAAAAAAAAAAAACAAUCUAGAGAGGGCAAGAUGAAACAAGAACCAAAGUAUGGCAACAGGCAACAGCUACUUGUGAUAUGCCUUCCGAGGCACUUGAACUUGGUAGUUGGUAUGAAAUCAGCCUUCUUGCUUAUUAAAAUCCUUGUCAUUAGAGGCUCAAAUUAUGAAAUUCACUAUGUUUGGACAUUUUAUUCUCUCUAGGCAUGGCCAAAACUCACUAAAUUAGGAUGGGUUCUGGAAAGCUACAGGUCAAGUGUGUUGCUGUCCAUGCCUCCAAUGUACACUUUUUAGCUGUAUAAUUUAUCCAACUCUUAUCCGUCAAAUGAAAAAAAAGAAAAAUCAAACCAUACUUCUGGCGGAUGCCAAGAGCUCCAGAAGACACAAGUGAAUAGCAAACAAUUUGAUCGUACUCGCGCAACAUUGGUAAUUCCAAAUGAACCAAAAAGAGGAUGCUGCAAAACAUUUGUAAUGUCACAAAUACCUGCUAAACUAUCUUACAAUGAUGAUUUCCUGCAGCCACUACGUAUUCCGCGUGAUGUUUUUCCAACUGCACAGGCCCAUCAAAUAAGAUCAAACGAAAACAAACAUGAAAAAUACUAUGUUCUUCUACAUGAACUAGCGUAAUUAGACAUGUAGAACCAUGUUCCGCAGGAAAACUAUGUAAAUUCCUUUAAGUCGUCCUUGCUUCAGUACACUCUCGAAGGGAAGAGUAUAUUUUCUCGUCAUGGAUAAUUCAGCAAUUUAUCUGUUUUGGCUUAGCGCAAGGUGAGUGAGGAUCGAGGGAUUCUCAUUUUUUUGUAUUAAUGAGGCAAGCUUUGCAGUAUGUGUCGAUUCUCACCGUACCGUUCUCACUGCAUUAUUCUGUUUGCCAGGUUUUACAUAAGAUCUUAAACGCACUACUUUUUCACUUCUUCAGUGCUCCAGAAUUUCGCCCUUUAGCUCAGUAGUCGAGCUUAAUUUGAUUCAAUUCAUUUUGAUACCGAUGGAAUAUAGGCCGAAGCUAUAUAUCAAUUGACAUAGAAAUCUUUAUAUAGAUACAACUUGAUAAAUUGUACUUAUAUGUCCUAGAACCGUCCAACCACUGUCUAAACGAUUCUAUGAAAAGUGGCACCUGUGACAGAGAUUGAAACUUCUAAUGCUUGUGAUUAAAAGACAUUGAACUAAUUGAUCAAGAUGUAUAAUCUUAAGAAUUAAGAAAUUCUAUCUACUGUCGAUGAAUAUAAAUGGGAUUAAACUUGUGUGGAGAUUCACUGGCGAUUAACAGAAUAGAAUUCAGGGCUAACACGAGACUAACACAUCUAAUUGCACUUGCAAAACCCCAGAAGCAAUAACCCAAAUCCGUUUAUCAGGGCUAUGACAUUCGACGCAAAGAACAUCUACACCUUUACGCUCUGACCCAGUGAAGAGAAAAAUCAAGAGAAAGAAUUAGGUCAUGAAAAACACAUACUACAAGACCACAGGGACAACCCACCUUGUCUUCUUGAGGUAUAACAAGUGACUUCUUCACACACGUACGCACGCUUCAUAUUUAACAUUACAUAAAGUAACUGAGGGGAGCUUCAUUCGUGCUACAACCGGAUGGUAGUGGUGCCGAACUCAUCAUCCGGUCGAGGCUAAAAGCCGCCUGGUGGGCAGAAGACGACGGGAGGACGGACUGGAUAAACCACUGGAGGUGGCGAUAGAGAACCAGUGUAUCAGGUCAU